rnacentral:rRNA from 1 species
CAGUCGCCGCGGGAAUACGAAGGGGGCUAGCGUUGUUCGGAUUUACUGGGCGUAAAGGGUGCGUAGGCGGAUUGUUAAGUCAGGGGUGAAAUCCCGAGGCUCAACCUCGGAACUGCCUUUGAUACUGGCGAUCUUGAGUCCGGGAGAGGUGAGUGGAACUGCGAGUGUAGAGGUGAAAUUCGUAGAUAUUCGCAAGAACACCGGUGGCGAAGACGGCUCACUGGCCCGGAACUGACGCUGAGGCGCGAAAGCGUGGGGAGCAAACAGGAUUAGAUACCCGCGUAGUCCCUGUCUCUUAUAC